rnacentral:misc_RNA from 1 species
AAAUCUCAACCUUCUCGGUUUUCUUCUGGACACCGAAGGAGGCUUGGACUUUGGAGGCCUUUGCUGGCGUCUCUCUCUCUUCUCGAGAGCCCAGCUCCUCUUAAAUGAAUUAGCGGGGUCCUCUUUGCCGAUCCUAGACAUGUGAUAAGAUGUUUCCAUGACUUGGUUUCUGGCUCUGUUGCCUUUGGGACCCGCUUCUAACCGUCUCGACGAGACAACGUUUGGGUGUGUCUCCCUUCUCGGGAGACUCUCUCAACCCUAAGAACC